rnacentral:rRNA from 1 species
GACGAACGCUGGCGGCGUGCUUAACACAUGCAAGUCGAACGGAAAGGCCCUGUCUUUGUGGGGUGCGCGAGUGACGAACGGGUGAGUAACACGUGAGUAACCUGCACCUGACUUAGGGAUAUCGUAAGGAAACUGGGGCUAAUAACGGAUAGGAGCUCUUGCUGCUGGGUGGGGGUUGGAUAGUUUCGGUGGUUGGGGAUGGACUCGCGGCUUAUCAGCUUGUUGGGGGGGUAGUGGCUUACCAAGGCUUUGACGGGUAGCCGGCCUGGGAGGGCGACCGGCCCAAUUGGGAUGGGGAUACGGCCCGGACUCCUCCGGGAGGCAGCGGUGGGGAAUAUUGCACAGUGGGCGGAGCCCUGAUGCGGCAACGCCGCGUGCGGGAUGACGGCCUUGGGUUUGUAAACCGCUUCCGCCUGUGACGAGGCGUGAGUGACGGUACUGGGUGAAGAAGCACCGGCUAACUACGUG